UGGGGAAUAUUGGGCAAUGGAGGCAACUCUGACCCAGCAACGCCGCGUGAAGGAUGAAGGUUUUCGGAUUGUAAACUUCUGUCGCAGAGGACGAAGAAUGACGGUACUCUGUAAGAAAGCCACGGCAAACUACGUGCCAGCAGCCGCGGUAAUACGUAGGUGGCAAGCGUUGUCCGGAAUAACUGGGUGUAAAGGGAGUGUAGGCGGCAAGAUAAGUUAUAUGUGAAAGCCCUAGGCUUAACUUAGGAACUGCAUAUAAGACUGUCUAGCUAGAGUGUGGGAGAGGUAAGUGGAAUUCCUAGUGUAGCGGUGGAAUGCGUAGAUAUUAGGAGGAACACCAGUGGCGAAGGCGACUUACUGGACCAUAACUGACGCUGAGGCUCGAAAGCGUGGGGAGCAAACA
rnacentral:rRNA from 1 species